rnacentral:tRNA from 1 species
GCCUGGGUGGCUCAGUCGGUUGAGCGUCCGACUUUGGCUCAGGUCAUGAUCUCGCAGUUCGUGAGUUCGAGCCCCGCGUCAGGCU